rnacentral:rRNA from 1 species
GUGGGGAAUCUUGCGCAAUGGGCGAAAGCCUGACGCAGCCAUGCCGCGUGAAUGAUGAAGGUCUUAGGAUUGUAAAAUUCUUUCACCGGGGACGAUAAUGACGGUACCCGGAGAAGAAGCUCCGGCUAACUUCGUGCCAGCAGCCGCGGUAAUACGAAGGGGGCUAGCGUUGCUCGGAAUUACUGGGCGUAAAGGGCGCGUAGGCGGACAGCUUAGUCAGAGGUGAAAGCCCAGGGCUCAACCUUGGAAUUGCCUUUGAUACUGGCUGUGUUGAGUUUGGGAGAGGUGAGUGGAACUCCGAGUGUAGAGGUGAAAUUCGUAGAUAUUCGGAAGAACACCAGUGGCGAAGGCGACUCACUGGCCCAAUACUGACGCUGAGGCGCGAAAGCGUGGGGAGCAAACAGGAUUAGAUACCCGAGUAGUCC